GAAAUGCGAUAAGUCAUGUGAAUUGCAGAAUUCAGUGAAUCAUCGAAUCUUUGAACGCACAUUGCGCCCGCCAGUAUUCUGGCGGGCAUGCCUGUUCGAGCGUCAUUUCAACCAUCAAGCCCCGCGCUUGUGUUGGGGACCUGCGGCUGCCGCAGGCCCUGAAAACCAGUGGCGGGCUCGCUGUCACACCGGGCGUAGUAGAUUUUAUCUCGCUCAGGGCGUGCUGCGGGUUCCGGCCGUUAAAAAGCCUUUUUUACCCAAGGUUGACCUCGGAUCAGGUAGGAAGACCCGCUGAACUUAAGC
rnacentral:misc_RNA from 1 species